GGCAAGGGGAGCAAGAUGGAAUUACAGACCCAGGUUCUCAUGUUCCUGUUGCUCUGGGUAACUGGUACCUGUGGGGACGUUGUGAUGACUCAGUCUCCAUCCUCCCUGGCUGUGUCAGUAGGAGAGAAGGUCUCUAUGAGCUGCAAGUCUAGCCAGAAUCUUUUUUACAGUGGAAACCAAAAGGACCUCUUGGCCUGGUACCAGCAGAAACCAGGGCAAUCUCCUAAGCUGCUGAUAUACUUUGCAUCCACUAGGGAAUCUGGGGUUCCUGAUCGUUUCACAGGCAGUGGAUCUGGGACAGAUUUCAUGCUGACCAUCAGCAGUGUGCAGGCUGAAGACGUGGCAGUUUAUUACUGUCAACACUGUCAUGGCAGCUUUAUCCCCCCACAGUGCUUCAGCCUCUUACACAAACUUCCUUUAGAGUUUAAACAGCUGUGUACACACACAGCCCUGGGCAUGCACACUUCCUCCUUUUGCCUGAGACAUGGCAUGCUUGAAAAACUGACAAAAAGGUUUACAGAGCCCCCCCCCCAAUAA